AGAUUGAACGCUGGCGGCAUGCCUUACACAUGCAAGUCGAACGGCAACACGGGGGCAACCCUGGUGGCGAGUGGCGAACGGGUGAGUAAUGCAUCGGAACGUGCCCAGUAGUGGGGGAUAACUAGUCGAAAGAUUAGCUAAUACCGCAUACGACCUAUGGGUGAAAGCGGGGAUUCGCAAGAACCUCGCGCUAUCGGAGCGGCCGAUGUCUGAUUAGCUA
rnacentral:rRNA from 1 species